UAGAUAUUAGCCCUCACCAACAGUGUAUGGCAAACAACAUCCACCCCAUGAACUCAACGCACUCAGCUCAAAUUUUCAUGUAGCAUACACCUGGAAAACACGACGACACAUGGCAUCUGUCGGUAUAGAACAGAAAGACCUAUAUUAAGGAAAUAGAGAGUGAUUUGAGCCUCACUUGGAACCACAAAUAUUCAUAGAUCCCAGUGACCCGCAUGCAUAAUUCACCAUUAUAACCAGUACUCAAUUAUCCUCCCUCACAAGGAAGGUUGGCAGGGUCAAUUGUCUUGCUCUGGUUGUAAAUUGACUAAACCAUACCAAAUUAGCACUGACAUUCAAAACCUAAAAUCAGACCCUUUACCAAUUCAAAUCAUGUGAUACUUAAACAUGCAACAGCAAAUUAGCUAAACCAUACUGAACUAGUACUGGCAUUUACAUCCUAUAAUCAGACCUUAUUAGCUGUUCAAAUCAUCUGAUACAUAAAACCAUUAGGUCCAGCUUGAGUCCUUGACCAUACCAUUACAAAGGAGGAAUGAUUUCCUGCAGCAAGUUUUGAAAUGCCUUUCUCCAACAAUACAUGUGAUCUCCACCAAUCACUUCAUGAUUAACAAGUAUGGUGUCACAUUGAAUGACCUUAGGUGGGAAACUGGGAGCCAUUACUGCUAGGAAUCAUUUUGGCGACAUGCCAUUCAAAGAAUAAUAAUCUACUUGUGCUCUGAUGUGGUUUUAGCUUUCCCAGAAACUAAAUAUAAUUCAUGCCCUUGACACCAACUGCCUUAUGCACACAGU